GACGAACGCUGGCGGCGUGCUUAACACAUGCAAGUCGAACGAAGUGGCGAACGGGUGAGUAACGCGUAAUCCACCUGCCAUUCAGCGGGGGACAACAGUUGGAAACGACUGCUAAUACCGCAUACUGAAGGAGGGGAUUGCGUUUGAUUAGCUAGUUGGAGGGGUCACUGCCCACCAAGGCGAUGAUCAGUAACCGGUCUGAGAGGAUGAUCGGGCACAUGUGGACUGAGUAACGGCCCAGACUCCUACGGGAGGCAGCAGUGGGGAAUCUUCCGCAAUGGACGAAAGUCUGACGGCGCAACGCCGCGUGAGUGAUGACGUCUUUCGGGUUGUAAAGCUCUGUUAAUCGGGACGCGGGACCGGAAUAGAAAGCCACGGCUAACUACGUGCCAGCAGCCGCGGUAAUAC
rnacentral:rRNA from 1 species